GCCUCAGCAGGAGGCCAGGGUGUUCAGCGCCCCCCGUCCCUACAGGAUCGUGUGUCCAGUGACUCUGGCAGAGCAGGUUCCCUGGCACUAGGACUGCAGUGACAGGCAGGCUGCAAGGCAGAGCUACCUGCAGUCACAGUAAGAGACCAGCGGGCAUGGGAAGUGUAACUGACUGCCACAUAGAACGGAUAGCAAAACAGAGACGUUGUCAGCGAGUGAAACUCUCGCACCUGCCCUCUGAAGGCCUGACAGCCCUGUGCACACAUUAAUGAGGGCUCCCCAGUACUGAACCUCGUUGACCCAGCCAGCCAAGGGGAAGCCAGCUGAUACUCUUCUCAUGCUGAAGCUUUUGACACUGGCAGGAUUUCUCCAUCCUUUUCCUACUGCAACCCUCUCUUCCAUACUGGGAACAUCCAAGGAAUCUCCGCCCAUCUCACUCACAUGCACGUAUGUCCGGGAAUGCAUCAUAGCGUUCAGGAAGUCAAACACCAUCAUGCUUUUGGAAUGAGCACAUUUAUUUAAGAGUGUAACUUACAGCUUGGCCAAUGUCCCAAAAUUCAGGAUUUCGGUCAAAGUUUAUUUACAAAGUUAAUAGCAGUUACUGAUGUUAGGAUUAAUGGAGGCUGUACACUUGUGAAAUCACUAGAAACCACAUCUCCAGGUGCUGCAGAAGCAAAUCUCCACUCCCAGGCUGGAGAGAGCACAUCUUACAAAAGGCAAAUAAUGAAACUGCACCAAAGGGAUAAGAAAGGUCACUUGUCAAGGUCGCAUUAGUCCAUGUCACUGCGAGGGGAUGAUCUCCGACAAGGAGCUCAUUUUAGCGCCAAUCCAGAGCUUUACUCAGAGUCACGUGCCAAUAGUGCCCAACUGUCUAACUUUAGAAAGCAUGACUCAUGGAAAGAGCCCUGCCUCUCCCAGAUCAGGACGCACCCUUCUCCCAUAUGACUGGCUUUGGGCAGAGCGCUAUGGUUAUGCAGCCAAAACAAGGGGGCAUUAUAUUCCCCAGGGCAGAUGCACAUCCAGCCUUGGGAGAUCUGCCAGUGUCAGGAAUGUCUCCAUGCAGCAGAAUUGCAUGGGGCCAGAGAAGCACUCCCUCCACAUGACACACAGCAGGGGCCACUCUGGAAUGGUAGAGGUGACUCUUUGUGUCAUAUUUUGACCUCACCUACUCUGGUGCAAAUCAGGAGUAACUCCACUGAAGUCAGUGGGGACAAACCAGUAUAGACCUGGUGUAAGUUAGAGAACAGCCUCUCCCCCGCUUUCAGCUGUGUCUGAACCUCAUGAGCAGUUAGGCUGCUGGCCACUGGGAAGCUGUUUUUUCUCCCCUCCUCCCCCUUCAAGACUGAGGCUCUAGGGAGUUUGAAUCAUCACAGCUUUUUCAAUGGAGCCCUCACGUUUCAUCAUUUGAAUGUAAAAUUCCCCCCCCCACACACACACACUGACAGAGAAGCAAUCCGGGUUGUAACGGUGUCUUACAGG